CCGCCUCGCCAUUACAUCCGUCGUGCUCACCUGUCCGCGUGCGCCAUGGCCUCUCUGCUCCGUGCCAUUGCUGUGAGCUCGCCAUACUGGAGUUCAUGCAGGGUUAAAUAAAGGCAGAACAGGGCGUAGCUGGAGGCGUCUCUCAUUCAUACCAGGAAGAAGGUAGAGACGUUGUGCAAAAAGAUAGGAAUUCCAUCAGGGGCAGCCUACAAUGUCGAUGUCGCUCACAUGGGUUCCCCAUGGUACAAAUGACUGCCUAAAUAAAAAAUAUAGCAUCACAGCGAUGGUAAUGUUCAGCGGCAAAGACAGCAAUGCAGAUCCACUUGUAUUCCACUUUUGGUGUACACCAAUUCAGCAACGCAGGUCCAAGAAGAUAAAAAAAAGAGCAAUUAGGGCCGCUAUCCAACAAAGACACAAAUCUGAGAGUGACAUGGUGUUAGGUGGGUCUUGUUAUUGCAGUGGAUGUACAUCGAGGUGCUCCUCCAACCACGUCUAGCAUUAUUCAGUUCUAUUC
rnacentral:lncRNA from 1 species